GAUGAAGAACGCAGCGAAAUGCGAUAAGUAAUGUGAAUUGCAGAAUUCAGUGAAUCACCGAAUCUUUGAACGCACAUUGCGCCCGCCAGUAUUCUGGCGGGCAUGCCUGUUCGAGCGUCAUUACAACCCUCAGGCCCCCGGGCCUGGCGUUGGGGAUCGGCGGAAGCCCCCUGCGGGCACAACGCCGUCCCCCAAAUACAGUGGCGGUCCCGCCGCAGCUUCCAUUGCGUAGUAGCUAACACCUCGCAACUGGAGAGCGGCGCGGCCACGCCGUAAAACACCCAACUUCUGAAUGUUGACCUCGAAUCAGGUAGGAAUACCCGCUGAACUUAAGCAUAUCAAUAAGCGGAGGA
rnacentral:misc_RNA from 1 species